AUCUCCUCCGUACUCCUAGAUCGCUGUGCUCUUGAGGACGCCAUCAGACAGGGCAGUCUGUUGGUCUGCUCUCACAUGGAACUGAUAAAAUGACCAAAGCACUGAGAUGUGGGGAGUUGCUUUUCCCGAUAGAACCCCUGGAACUGAAAGCCCUGAACUGCAAAGAUGCCCUUUGUCCUGCCACUCACAAGUCUGCUCACGGCACACACAGGGCAAUGUGAUUGUAAGAUAAAUGUUCCAAAGAUAGAACUCGAUGUUUUUUCCCAGGAAUAUAUGCCAACGCCAUGGAAGUCUGCUGGCUCUGUUUCCCAUUGCCCUGGAAAUGGGUGCUCCCACACCUUCUUCUUCUUCUUCUUCUUCUUUUUAUCACUUUCUUGUACAUAAAUGAGAAAAUACAACUUGACACUGGUGGAAAACACAUCCCUUUCGAUGAACCACUAAACAUAUAAAUCGUAUCUCAGAAGUUCUAUGAUAUCCCAAGAAACACAAAUAUCUAUAUUAAUAGUGGGCACAUGACUAUUAGCAUAAGUGUAAUGAUGGAAAAUAAUUCUGCGGCCCUGUAUUUUAAAGGACUGGCAGGAGCAGCAAGGCAUUUCCAAGAACAGGUAGAUAGAAGCUGUCUGCUACUAACCUACAAACGCAUACAAAUACAUUCACCCUGAUUUUAAAUACAAGGGACAAGAGGACAAAGCCAGGCACCCACAAAUGUGUAUUUGCUAUACUGCAAAUUCUCUGAGGUCAACCAAAGAAAUCGUUGAAAGCAUUUAGUUUUUCACCUAACCCCAACCCUGCAGUACUGAUUUGGGUUUUUUUUGGGAAAAAAAAUCUUCUACUGCCACCUGCUGGCAUAUUAUGGUCAAUUAAACUCAAAGAGAACGACCCACUUGGAUUGAAUCAUUAACAUUUGAUUUUUUUAAUUAAUUUUUUUUCAAAAUAUGUAUAUUGAUCAUAUUUCUACAUCUCCUUCUUCCCACCUCCUUACCCUUCAAACUUCAAUACAAGAACAAUCUAUUGAUUCUGUGCAUCUUCCUCCAUUUCUGGAUAUAAUAAAUUGAUGAUACAAUAUUCUAUAUGUUAGUAAAAUUAAUAAACAACCAAACUUGAGCAUA